rnacentral:rRNA from 1 species
UACGGAAGGCAGCAGUGGGGAAUAUUGCACAAUGGGCGAAAGCCUGAUGCAGCUAUGCCGCGUGUAUGAAGAAGGCCUUAGGGUUGUAAAGUACUUUCAUCGGGGAGGAAAAACAAAACUAAUAAUUUUAUUUCUUGACGUUACCCGAAAAAGAAGCACCGGCUAACUCCGUGCCAGCAGCCGCGGUAAUACGGAGGGUGCUAGCGUUAAUCAGAAUUACUGGGCGUAAAGAGCACGUAGGUGGUUUUUUUAAGUCAGAUGUGAAAAUCCCUGGGCUUAACCUAGGAACUGCAUUUUGAAACUGAAAUACUAGAGUAUCGUAGAGGGAGGUAGAAUUCUAGGUGUAGCGGUGAAAUGCGUAGAUAUCUGGAGGAAUACCUGUGGCGAAAGCGGCCUCCUAAACGAAUACUGACACUGAGGUGCGAAAGCGUGGGGAGCAAACAGGGAUUAGAUACC